UAAUGUAGACAGCUGUGUUCUUUUUAUGCCAUAAUAUAAAAUAUGAAAAGUAAAUGUGUAAUACAUUUUGAAAUUUAUGAUAUAACCAUAGCUUGGGAGAACAGUUAUCUUUGCAAUUUCACUGGCCACAGUGCUUGGCCUUUCAGGCUGGAAGAGCUGUGCUUCACCAUGGUUAGAAAUGGAUUAGGAAGACUGUGAACAAGUCAGACUACAUUGGCUGAAACAUUAGUAACCCUUAUUACUCCUCCUUGGGGGCUGUUUACAAAUGGGUGAGCAGGACUUGGAGUCCCACAUUUAAUACUUUCAUUCUGGCAGAAGCAGCAUGCACACAGCAACAGAUUUCCCUGUCACAGGACAGAAUAAACCACGCUGAAAACUACUGCCUCACAUCAGGUAUCUGCAGUGGAAGACAAUACUGUGUCUAUCACUGCCCAAAAUCUCUCUCAGGCUUUGCAUUGGCUUCACUCGUGCACAGAUCACAAACCCAGAAACCUCUGAUCCCCUUGAGCACAUUCAGAUGAUGAGAAAAGCACCUUAGCAAAUGCAAUAGGUAAUUUUCUCCUCUCAAAUGAAAUAGAACUCUCCAGUAGCAUUUUCCCAGUAUUUUGUAACGAGACCAUUCUGAAGAAAUGUCCUCAGACACAUGUAGACUGCAGAAUGGAUUGAUUUAAACAGCCCACAUUGAUUUAAACAGCCCUGUUCUGUUGCAGCACGUGUCACAGGUGAGACAGCCACAAUACAGAGCAUCCCCACUCAGUUCCAGAAGGCUUUGAGCACUCACCCACACAGAGUAACACCACACCACACCAGAAGGCUGCAAGCAUCUUCUUUCUUGUUCCUGAGGCCAACCUUUUAUACCCCUCAUGUUCUUGCAUUGCACCUACAAGUGUAAUGUUUAUCUACAGGUUCCUUCUGUGCUGUCACUGCAGAAUUUGCACCAGCCUAGGACAGGGAUGUUAGGACAAGAGAGCAGGAAAAGUCCCAUCCAAACCCACUGAAGGCACCUGCUGACUUCCUGGGCUUGGACCUGGACUUGGAGAUGAAACCUGUAUGUUCCUACAGACAAUCCCAGUUGAUUGUCAAGACAGUCAACUACAUCAUACACAUUUUUCUGUCAAGACAAUCUACUAGGCAGGAUAAUUUUUUGCUUGUUUUAAGAGCAAUUACAUUGAGAAAAAUUUAGCGUUAAUGGUUUAUGCAUUUUUUAAAACUAAUUGCUAUAGAAACAAAUUAAGUACCCAGAUUAUCUCCUCCCUGAGCUACCAUCAAAUGCCUUUGUGGUGUGUAUUUCUGGCAUUUUAACAGGCUAAGGAGCUCAUGGCUGAGCCUUCUCUGCUUCUAAAGGACAAAUAGGUUUUACAGAGAGGGAAAAGGAAUAGAACAUGUAAAUCCUCUGGAUAUUUUCCUUUGGGCACUGUAGUUCAUCACAAAAGUAGAGGUUUUAACAUUUAUGAUCUCCAGCAGAAUUUUAGUUUCCUGUUGCAGGCAUUUUGAGAUGUGCAAUAAAGCAUUACUGCAUUCACCUGGAGAGAGUUAGAAGUUUGGUUUAGCAGUGUUCUUCUGAAAAACUUCAUGCAAAUACUUUCACUGAUGAAGAUAGACAGUCCAGCUGCUGUGUCUGAAAAGGUGUAUGAUGCAUGCUAAGGAACAGCAUGAAUGUCAAAUAACAGAAUAAUUAAAAUACAGAAGGAAACAAAGGAGGUGAGUGGGAUAAACAGCUCCUAAUUUUGUUUUAUCUUACAGUUUAAAAUUACAUUUAAUAUAACCUUUCUAUCUCUACAUAAACACUUAGGUCUGGGUACAAAUUCUCCAGUAGUCUGGGUCUGGCACAGAUUUUCCAGAAAGCAGCAACUGUAUAAAACCUCCUUCCCUUUUUUCCUAAUCCAUGGUAAUCCAUUUUGUAUCCCUGGUCCCUGCAUCACCUGUAGAUACAUUUCUGCAUCACCCAGUGGAGUUUAUAAUCCUCUGCAGCUCUUAAAAUGGUCAGACGUCCCAGUUCAUACAUUACAGCUGGAGACACUUACAUGAAACUUCGACAAUCUGAAAAAUCAAUUUACUUGGACAAUCUGAUAGCCCCCCUCCACAACUUGGAUGUGUUAUUUUACUUCCCUGACAUUAUUGUAAUUGGUUGAACCACUUUUGUUGGGGUAUUUUUUUCCAACCCUAAUUACCUUGUCAUUUAUUAUUAGGCAUUUUAAUAUGGCCAUUAAAUGUCACACAUAGCUUUCAGGUUUUUUCUCUCUGUCUGGUUCACAAUCCUGCAAUUUAGAAAAGUCCAGCCAUAUACAUAUUUUUACACUUUGACACAUUUAAAACUUUGCUCAGUGCCAGGUUUAUUACAGCAUUAAACUGAUGAACUUGCUCUAAUAAUCAAUGUGUAAAUAAUCAAUUUAAUGCUAUAAUAAUGAAAACAUAAAACAGCCAACUCUCUGUUGCUUGUGCUGAGGUGCAGUGACAUUUGGUGGUCAUGCAUGGCAACAUUUGUACAAGCUUCAUUUAGAGAAGGUGGCAGGUUAAUUGGGACAGAACACCAAUGCAGUGCAGCAUCCAUAAUAAGCUGCCAGGGAAAAAGAACUGGAAAUCUGCUUCCACUCCUUCCAGAUAUACCCUCUCAAGGUAAUAUUCAGAAGAAUUAGCAUCAGUAUGUUUUCAUACAUUUAUAGGAAAAUACACAAUGAUCACUGCAGGCAUCAAGCUGCUUUUCUUCAUCUACCAAAAAAAAAACCCCAAAAAACCAGUUUGUAGCUCCAGAGUCCCAUUGCAGUUGCUGGGUGAAGUGCAGAUAUGGCUUCAUUUUAUUCAAUACUUUGUUCCAGAAACUAAUGGAAACCAGACCCAGUACUGGAGGGACUCACAAGGUGUGAGUUACAGAGUGUUCCUUGAUUUCCUGUUUACACAUCCUCAUGCAUUUCCCCUCACCCCAAGCCUGUCACUGAGCAAAACCCAAACCAGGACUUGAUGAAGAAUUGAGGGCUUCUAGGAAAAUAACAUCAAUAUUUAUCUGUAAAAAUUACAAGCUUCAGCUAGGAUGCUAGAAAAAGGCUCUUAAAUCUUUCAGAUUGAUUAACAGCCAUAUUUUACCCUGCAAUUUGUGGAUCAGUAUUUCUGAGAUGUGCUCUCUCCCCAGGGUGCCAUCCUCACACCAGUACAGCUACAGAGGAACCAAGGCUGAUAUGCUGAGAAACAGUAAUUCACAGUCAAAGUUUGCUCUGCAGAUAGAUUAAACUGUGAAAGAGACUGGUUGGAAACAAAGUGGGUGCUUAUCACUGAAUCAAUUUUUAACAUGCUCAGGUUGACUGUAUUAUUAUUUUUUUUUUUCAUCAAUACCAUAAUUCUAAAUUGAACUACCAGAAGAGAUUAGGUUUGCUUUUAAUUUUCCCUCUUUCACGGACUGAAGGGGCAGACAUGGCAGAUACCCUUCAUCCAUCACCUCAGCAGAGGUGAGGAGUGGCUCAUCCUCUCCAGGAUCAGGCAGCUGAUACAGACAGGUCCUUACCUGCAGGAUCUGAGGACUCUUUGUACCCCUUCAGCUGCAAAGACCUCGUGCAGGGCACAGGCAACAACUCUGCUCGCAGGUCAACAGCCCAGCUCACGGGGGAUUUUGGAUGCUAGAGUUCCCCCUGUUCCCUCUGGACAUUGUCCCUGCACACAAGAUUUGCUUGAGCUCUGGUUGUACCCACACGAUGAUGCCACAGUCCCAAAUGCUUAAUUAGUGUCAUGAUCAGGAGGGUGUAGGUAUCACUGCUGUACAGUAACUUCUUCUUUGCACAUGAGGCAGUUCCUCCUUGCACAUAAACAGGAUUUUGGGCAGAGCAGCCAGAAGUGUUUCUUUGGGAAGAUGGAGAGCCCAGCUGUAACAGUGUGAUUGUGCGACAGGAAAACAAUCCCUAACAGAAAUUCAGUUAAAAUGUAAACCAGUUUGAGGUGGUUAAAUCUGUGGUGAGCCUUAAGACUCAGAGAAAGAACAUAAUUAUUGAUACUAAAAUAGUAUUAAGGGUGAAGAAAAAAACAUAAUUAACCCAUGGUUAGAUAAGCUGUAGCUCUGCCUGCAGCUGGCUUACAAUACUGGUCCUGUGUAGUUUUCAGUGGUUUCUUUCCCUGCUGAAGGACUGGAAGAGUUGCCUUCUCCCACAACCAAGCACCACCACCCACUUCCCAAACACUUCAGGGUCAUGAACACAUUUCAAAAGGCCACUUUGGGAAACUUUCCUUUCUUCCUUGGAAGAGCAGGAUUUUACCACCCACUUUUUCCAGAACAGCCCUGCAGGGACAACAAGAGGAGAUAUGAGAACCAGCUUCUUCUAGGCUCAAAUAUCACCCCAAACCCCUCCCUGGACAGUUUCCCUGGUCCCCAAGAAAGGCAAGUAGAGAAGUUUCUCCUUUCAUCUACACACUCCCUUUCUCUCAAAGGAGGCCUUUGGGCUGCUGCUGCCAACACUCCCCCAGCCAUGGCUGCUUUUAAACUCUUCCCUAGUGCCAUGGGAAAGCAAGGCAAACGAGAGAGCACUGCUGUAUUCUUCUUGUCAGUGAACACACACAGCACUAGACGAGUCUGGCACUCGGCCUCUCAGGUCUGGUCUCUGCUAUAAUGAAUGAAUGCUCAUUAGCACACCAAAGAAAUUGCACCUUCUCAUCACAUCAUAGUAAGACAGAAAGGGUCUUGUCCUAAUGCUGUUUAUGAACCACAUUUCAACUUCUUCACUUGGUAUAAACAGCACCUUGCUCUAUUUUCAGACUGUGAUGAGGCCUCUUCUUGAAGCACUGUGCUCCUUAAAAUCAGCCUAACCCCUGUUCUUCCAGAUUUUUAUUGCUAAGCUCCUACCUUACACUAUGGGCUUUGAUUUUAAAUUUUUUUAUAAGAAAACAACUGAUAGAGACUCAGGUCCCUGUUUGAAAAAUCUGCCCACAAAUUUACUUCCAGCCUCACCUCAGAAAGAACAAACAAAAUUUAGGAUAAAGCAAAGCUACAAAAUUUUAAAUUUUAUAUUCUGUCUCACAAUGUGCUCUUUUUAGCCGACAAGUUCUGCCUAAAUCAAUUUUUCACACCACCUUUUUUUUUUUGUCUUGCUUAUUCUGAUUAUACUGACAAAUUACUCCACUUGUUCCUUCCUCUUCCUCACUUUCCCAGAUAUAUAUAUAUAUAUAUAUAUAUAUAUAUAUAUAGAUAUGAUGUUCUAUAUUUUUCAUAUGCUGUUCUACAAGCCUUGCUUCAAAUAUUUCACUAGUAUUCAGAUUCACUGUAUUUCCAGAAGCAAUUCCUACAAAAAAAGUUAAGCUCCCCUGUCCAAUCUCAGUGCAAUUUCCAUUGCAAUUAAAAAACCUGUGAGCCCAAUACAUUUAGUGUCUACUACAACCCAAAAGGAAGAACAGUUAACCUGGUAAUGUAAAUACCUUUAAAUGUAACAAUUUUCACUCUUGAGAAAUUAAAUAUUUUACUGUAGCUGCUUAUUUCAAAUGUGGAAAAAUAUUCAACAUAAUUCUUAUCUUUUAAUGAAUAUCUGAAACGUAGGGUAUAAAUUAAACAAAGGAUUGAAAAUCCGUAAGAAACCACAUAAUCCAUCAUUCUUUUGUGGAAAUAGCAGAAUGAUCUGCCUUUCCUGCCUUAGUUGAAAGUUUAUUGAAUCAAGCACUGGCUACACUUGUCUCUAAGGUUACCAAUGCACCACUUUAUGUCAGAGUGACAGCUCUGUAUAGAGCAACACGUUGCAAUAAAGUGUCUCCGGGCCUGUCUUCCCAGAACACUUUUCUUUCUUAACCCUCUCCUAAUGGUGCUGAGACCCUUAAGACUGGACUCAACACACUCUUUUAUUUGUCAAAUGCGUGUGCCAGGAAGGGGCUGAAGGGUGGAACAAACCAGAGCACUUCUUCAGGCACGUGCUGCUCUCCAUUAGGAUUUUGGAGGUUUCAUUCUAUUAAAAUUGCUCUUCUGCAGCAUUAUCAGGCACAAGAUAUUCUGUCCACGCAUUAUAUGCCCUUCCCUUUUUUUUUUUUUUCCCCCACGGGGAAGCCGGAGCAUUCACAGACCCCGCUGGAGCUGUAACUGCUGCCAGCUGCUCUGUCAGCUGGGUGUGUGGAAUUGUCACCAAGUGCCUGGCCAAGGUCCCACCCACACCUCAGACAAACUGGAGAACAGCAAGAUGCCCAUAUUGUUGUCAUUUCGUAACAAUAUUCCUCUUAUUCCCAAGGCAGAAAUUUCACACAUUUCCUAUCAGUUGUGCUCUUUGAUGGACUAAACUCUUGGAUUGUGACCCCUCCAGAGAGAGCUGUCAGUGUUCUGCACUGCCUGGGGGAUGGGAACCCCUGCCUGAACAGGUAGCUGCUCCCUACUCGAGCCUUGGGACAUCAACAUCUGAAUUCCCACCCUGGAAAUUCAGGAGAAUUCAGCACCUUGGAGAGCUGUACCCUCAGCUCACUCCGGACACACAACAGAAAACAUCCAUUUCCUUAGGGAAAUAUUUCCUAUGUAUCUCCUUACCAGUUAUAUUCCCUCUGAUGGUUUAAUCAAUUAGAAGCUUAUUUUUUUCCUUUUUCUUUGGUCAUGAAAUCUAAAAAAGGGCUGUUAUCACCUUAUGGAAUAUUUUAAUUAAAAAUAAUUGUGUAUAUCUAUAACAUUUGUGUCGUCAUGGAGUAUAGGCAUUAUUAAAUCAAUUUUGUUCUUGUUAAGUUCUACUUAGGUAAAAUAGGAUAUUGGAUUUCUAAACUGAUUAUACAGGAAAGAGGUCUAGUCCCGAGUUUAAUGGAAACUUGGGACUGCAUACACUCGGGUGGUUUAAUUUCCUUACUUCUAACCAAAUACCCAAUCCAACAACACUGUAAUCUGCAGACAUUGGAAAACAAAUAUUCUACUCACCACUGCCCAUUUAGGUGCUGCAUUUGUAAGAUUUGCCUGGAGUUUUAUUCCCCCCCAGUGACAGAAUCACUAACACUUGUCAUGCACCUACCUCCUUGAAGCCAGGCUCCUUCUCCACUUCCAUGCCUGAAAUUCAACAGAAGUUUAACUAAUCUUUUUCUUUCCCUUUCAAAGCUCCAGGUGCCUGGGAAGUUGUGACUCUCCUUAGCCACAUCCCAGGAGCUCCCCAUUCUCUGAAGUACUCUUGAAAUCAUCCAGAGGAUAAAGAGAAGGAAUCUUAAUGCUGCUGAAGAAGUGCAGAAGAUGCAUCAGUCAUCGAUACCAGUGAGGUUCCUCCCUCCCUGGAGGCAACUGACUUGCCAGGAUGAGUUACUUGCAGUAAAUAUAAACCACCAGGACCACUGCACCUUGCC
rnacentral:lncRNA from 1 species